rnacentral:lncRNA from 1 species
UUCUAAGGUGGUGUUUGCAAAUGAUUAUUUAAAAGCAGAAGUUAGUGAUUGUGAUUUAAGUUAGUUUUAAGUGCUUAUUUCUAAAAGUUGAGGGUGUUUGCAAAUAUUUCGGAAAAUGAACUAAAAUUGAAAAAGCAGGGUUAGGGGUGCUUUUAAAAAAAUAGCUUAAAACAGAUUAUUUUAAGAGAAGCAAAAGCAAAAGUUGAUU